rnacentral:lncRNA from 10 species
AUCAGUAUAAAUUUAAAAGAAACAGCUUAAUGAAAUACAAGUCAGUUUAUUUGAUAUUCAGCCUACAGCUUUCCAAAGCAGCAGUUGAACAUGUUGUUGAGUUUAUACCAUUCAUUCAUUCAUUUAUUUUUUCUUUCUUUCUUUCAGAAAAUACUGGGUGUUUGAUAUUUGUUUCACUGUGCUAGUUUCUGGGAAUGGGUAAGGAAGAGGCUGGCUGUGUGGAUGAGAGCAACUUGCUUUUUACAAUAAUUAUUUGUUAUUGUAAAUUAACAAUUUGCUCUUCUGGUAUUAUAUGGAAGUAUUUGAUCCUGUUGAUGGCACUGCCUUU